GCCUAAUACAUGCAAGUCGAGCGAACAGAUGAGAAGCUUGCUUCUCUGAUGUUAGCGGCGGACGGGUGAGUAACACGUGGGUAACCUACCUAUAAGACUGGGAUAACUCCGGGAAACCGGGGCUAAUACCGGAUAAUAUUUUGAACCGCAUGGUUCAAUAGUGAAAGACGGUUUCGGCUGUCACUUAUAGAUGGACCCGCGCCGUAUUAGCUAGUUGGUAAGGUAACGGCUUACCAAGGCGACGAUACGUAGCCGACCUGAGAGGGUGAUCGGCCACACUGGAACUGAGACACGGUCCAGACUCCUACGGGAGGCAGCAGUAGGGAAUCUUCCGCAAUGGGCGAAAGCCUGACGGAGCAACGCCGCGUGAGUGAUGAAGGUCUUCGGAUCGUAAAACUCUGUUGUUAGGGAAGAACAAAUUUGUUAGUAACUGAACAAGUCUUGACGGUACCUAACCAGAAAGCCACGGCUAACUACGUGCCAGCAGCCGCGGUAAUACGUAGGUGGCAAGCGUUAUCCGGAAUUAUUGGGCGUAAAGCGCGCGUAGGCGGUUUCUUAAGUCUGAUGUGAAAGCCCACGGCUCAACCGUGGAGGGUCAUUGGAAACUGGGAAACUUGAGUGCAGAAGAGGAGAGUGGAAUUCCAUGUGUAGCGGUGAAAUGCGCAGAGAUAUGGAGGAACACCAGUGGCGAAGGCGGCUCUCUGGUCU
rnacentral:rRNA from 1 species